GGGGAGUCGGGACCCAUUGAAUUUCUCAGGGACCCACCCAACUCGCCACCUGUGGGUCCCGGGGACUCACUACAUUGAAAACCUAUCAACAUCACUGGUUAUGUCUUAUUUAUUUUCAAUUUAUUUCCGUUUGUUGAGUGUGUGAAUCCCCCCUCCUAAUUGUACACUUGUGCGAUUUAGUUUGAAACCGCCUCGCGACUUUCUGCGUUGUCAUGGUUACCCCACACUCUUUCUUCAGUGAGAGCCAAGAAAGUAAAGUUGAGUAAUGGAGGAUUUGAGGUUACCUAAAAAGCAGAAGAAACUGGACCAACAGCCAAGCAUACACAGUUUUUUUUCAGACAGUAAGUAACUUGACAGGCAUGCUGAAAGCAGUGGCCAGACAGGGACAUGCUCUGGACAUGCAGGUGAUAAGGUGAGAAUUUUGAAUAUGAGACUAGACAGCCUUACAACAUUGUUUAUAACCUGGGCCUACAUGUCAGCAAUACAUAAAAGUAGCCUACUUCUAAUACAAGCAGAAUAUAUAGACCUAAAUGAUCACGAAGGUCAGCCACUGUUCUUCUGAUAACAUAAUGACAUGUGGUCAUGGGUAUGUGGUAUUUUUCCAUUGGAAGCUAUCCUUUUUGCUACAGUACUACUGGAAGAGCAUAAUUGUAAUUGGUAGGUGUGUUUAAGGUCAGUAAGCAGCUAACCAAAACAAAGUGUGUGUGUGUGUGUGUGGGGGGGGGGCGGGGCAGACAUUACAUUAUUACACUAUUCCUUUAGAUGUGAAUUCAAAUGGUCAAUGUAGUCCUCGAAACUAUGUUCUAAAUGUCCACAUUUUCAUAAAUAAAUAUAGAAUUGUAGGCAAUGCACUUAACAAAUAAUAAUAAAAAAUUGGACCCCCCCAAUGUCUAAACCAUGGUUACGCCCUUGUCUCUGCAAGACCCAAGAUGGCGGACGUCUGGACAAAGGAAACCCACGUCACGAAGACGCGCCGUCUCUUUAACACCACGUGGUUACACUCUACGGCUGCGUUGUAUAGACAAGUUUUUGACCCGUUUCCGCUCUACUUCCUUAACUCCUCCCGUGUAUGCUUUCCACUUCCGUUCUGGCGGGCUCAGGUUUAUGUUGCUAGGUAUCUCCGAUAUCGACGCAGAGACACAGUGUGAAAAAGGAUGGACAACGUAUCGAGGAAAAGUGGUUCGGGAACUACGUGUGCAGUAGUUGGCUGUACCAACUCAAGGAAACACCUGAACGAGUGGUUAAAUAGAGAGUGUUUUGACCACAAACCAGCCACGAAGAGACAAUGUUUAUGUCCUCCGUUGUUUGAGUUUUUUCGCAAGCCUGAUGCCGACUCGGAAUCACAAGCCUGGCUGAAGGCAUUGAAUUUAAAAAAUCCACCCUGCACCGUUUGUGUGUUCACAUCAUUUUGUGGACAAGAGACCAACUAAGAAUAAUCCCUUUCCAGAGUUGUGGUUGGGAUACACACGCUUUACCCAGCCAAAGAGGAGCCGAGUCACCGGGCGGACCACUGCCUGCCCAAAGAAGCGUAGACUUCAAUCUGAUGAUGCUCCCGAAACGUGUCAGCCUGCCUGUGAGGCUGAGCCUGCCACACCAAAAUUCCGAGAUGCCCAGACCCAGUGGGAGGAUCCGUCACUGACUGACCACGCAUACUUUUCAACAACACAGUCUGUUAAAGUAGAUAAGGCCACACAGGGCGAGGAUCCUACUGUGACUAGCACCACAGUCAUUGAUGAUUCUAGGUCUCGGCUGUAUACAGGAGUGCGCAUGGUUCAAUUUUUCACCAUGGUGACGGCAUUGUUGCCUUUCGCUAAGCCAUCAAUUACCCUUCCUGUUGUUGACCAAAUCCUGAUGACCUUGAUGAAGCUAAAACUAAAUCUUAUAUUAGGAGAUAUUUCUCACCGUUUCAAUGUGUCUACAUCCAUAGCGAGCAUUGUGAUUAGUCACUGGAUUGGCGAUUAUGAACACAAUGUUGACAUAUCUAAUGUGGCAGAUUUGUAACAGAUUUACGCAAGUAAUAAUGUAUAACUUUGAUAACUUUGUGCAGUUCUCUCAUACAAUUAUGAACACUUUGUUUUAAAGAUAAAAAUCAAAAUCAAAACACUGAACAGUUCAAAGUCCUGAUCCCCUGGCUUCCAAGAGAGACCAUUCGUGCCACCAUGCCCUUACCGUUUAAGAGGAACUACCCUCGAACCACCUGCAUCAUUGACUGUGCCGAAAGUGCCAUGCAGGGAGCCACAAACCCAGAUUCAAGGAGUGACAGUUUCAGUCAGUAUAAAUCACGCAACGCUGUGAAAUAUCUUGUCGCUGUGGCCCCUAAUGGGCUAAUCAUGUAUAUAUCUGACGCAUAUGCUGGCAGAAGCAGCGAUAAGUUUAUCACCAUGGACAGUGGGUUUCUGGACUAUCUAAGGGCUGGUGAUGAGGUCAUGGCGGACCGUGGGUUCACCAUUCGAGACCUGCUUAAUGAAAGAAAGGUCAGUUUGAACAUCCCUGCAUUCACCAAAAGGCGCAAUCAGUUGACCAAUGAGGAGAUAACACGAACCAGGCGAGUAGCCAAUGUCCGCAUACAUGUGGAAAGAGCAAUCCAGAGACUGAAGGUCUUUAAGAUUUUAUCCCAGACCGUUCCCAUCAGCAUGGCACGUAAACUGGACAACAUCUUGACCAUCUGUGGUGGCCUAGUUAACCUAAGAAGUCCACUGAUCAGAAUGCCUCGUGAGGUUUAGAAUCUUGCCUUGUGUCCCUGUGUGCAUACUAGUAUUGGUUAAUAUUGUAAAUGAUUGUUAUAGUGAUGUUAUUGUGUGGGCUUGUUUUGUAUUUCACUUUUUAAUACAUGUUAGGAUUAAAUACAUGAUCUUUCUUGUUGAA